UGAGAAACACCCAUAGAAAGGUCAACUUACCCCAUACUCUAACCUGAAUGCAGGGAUCAUAAAACUUUAUCUUUUACCUUAAUUGUUAGAUGGGUGUUGAUACCAAACUUUUUUUCUCGUCUACCCAGGAGAAAGUCAUGGGUUCUGCUGCUAAGGUUGUCAUAAACGUCUUUUAUUCUGCUUACCUGACUCAUGCAGAAUUCUGGCUUGAUGUUUGGUCCACCUGUUAGCUGGCUCUGGUGCUUGGUAGUCUUCUCAAACCUCUGAAUCAAGACCACCAUGAGAGGCCUUCUGAAGACCAUCAUUACGCUUCAGAUCCAGUUGUCUUUACUAAGAGCCUACCACAAUCCCUGUGCACCAGCUAUGGAAAGUGCAGACCAAACUUCUACCUCCACCUAUAGAACUGAACUGGAGUCUAUGAACUAAUGCUGUGUUCGAGACAACUUGGAUGUUGGAUAUUAUUGACCUUAAACCCGUAAGAAGUCAGGAACAGGAAACAAAGUGGAGUAUCCGACCUCUCAACUUGGACCAGAUCGAUCAACACCGACCUCAACGAGAUGCGUCAUUUGACAUUGCAGACAAGAUCCUUUCUCUUUUUAAUGCAGCACUUAAGGAUGAACCACCCUGAUCUACUAAGAUGCACAGAUUCAACUCUGGCCCAGCAUCAUCCCCAUACCUCAUCUGCCAUCAGUUCAAUUUAAUGUCUGUCAAUUGCAAAUGGUAUUUAUUUCAGUUAUAUUACAACUUAAUAUUAAAGGAAUAGUCUACCCUUUUGCCAUAUUAAACUAUGUUAUUAC